rnacentral:tRNA from 1 species
CCUUCGAUAGCUCAGUUGGUAGAGCGGUGGACUGUAGUUGGCUUCUUAGAAAUAUGGAUAUCCAUAGGUCGCUGGUUCAAAUCCGGCUCGAAGGA